UACGUAGGGGGCAAGCGUUGUCCGGAUUCAUUGGGCGUAAAGAGCGUGUAGGCGGCCAGAUAGGUCCGUUGUGAAAACUCGAGGCUCAACCUCGAGACGCCGAUGGAAACCAUUUGGCUAGAGUCCGGAAGAGGAGAGUGGAAUUCCUGGUGUAGCGGUGAAAUGCGCAGAUAUCAGGAAGAACACCCGUGGCUAAGGCGGCUCUCUAGUACGGUACUGACGCUGAGACGCGAAAGCGUGGGGAGCGAACAGG
rnacentral:rRNA from 1 species